UACGUAGGGUGCGAGCGUUAAUCGGAAUUACUGGGCGUAAAGCGUGCGCAGGCGGUGAUGUAAGACAGGUGUGAAAUCCCCGGGCUUAACCUGGGAACUGCAUUUGUGACUGCAUCGCUGGAGUGCGGCAGAGGGGGAUGGAAUUCCGCGUGUAGCAGUGAAAUGCGUAGAUAUGCGGAGGAACACCGAUGGCGAAGGCAAUCCCCUGGGCCUGUACUGACGCUCAUGCACGAAAGCGUGGGGAGC
rnacentral:rRNA from 1 species